GAUGAACCCUGGCGGCGUGCUUAACACAUGCAAGUCGAACGGGAUCCAUCAAGCUUGCUUGGUGGUGAGAGUGGCGAACGGGUGAGUAAUGCGUGACCGACCUGCCCCAUGCUCCGGAAUAGCUCCUGGAAACGGGUGGUAAUGCCGGAUGUUCCACAUGAUCGCAUGUGAUUGUGGGAAAGAUUCUAUCGGCGUGGGAUGGGGUCGCGUCCUAUCAGCUUGUUGGUGAGGUAACGGCUCACCAAGGCUUCGACGGGUAGCCGGCCUGAGAGGGCGACCGGCCACAUUGGGACUGAGAUACGGCCCAGACUCCUACGGGAGGCAGCAGUGGGGAAUAUUGCACAAUGGGCGCAAGCCUGAUGCAGCGACGCCGCGUGAGGGAUGGAGGCCUUCGGGUUGUAAACCUCUUUUGUUUGGGAGCAAGCCUUCGGGUGAGUGUACCUUUCGAAUAAGCGCCGGCUAACUACGUGCCAGCAGGCGCGGUAAUACGUAGGGCGCAAGCGUUAUCCGGAUUUAUUGGGCGUAAAGGGCUCGUAGGCGGCUCGUCGCGUCCGGUGUGAAAGUCCAUCGCUUAACGGUGGAUCUGCGCCGGGUACGGGCGGGCUGGAGUGCGGUAGGGGAGACUGGAAUUCCCGGUGUAACGGUGGAAUGUGUAGAUAUCGGGAAGAACACCGAUGGCGAAGGCAGGUCUCUGGGCCGUCACUGACGCUGAGGAGCGAAAGCGUGGGGAGCGAACAAAAGUAGAUACCCUGGUAGUCCACGCCGUAAACGGGG
rnacentral:rRNA from 1 species